rnacentral:rRNA from 1 species
UACGGGGGGGGCAAGCGUUGUUCGGAAUUACUGGGCGUAAAGGGCUCGUAGGUGGCCAACUAAGUCGGAUGUGAAAUCCCCAGGCUUAACCUGGGAACUGCAUCCGAUACUGGAUGGCUUGAAUCCGGGAGAGGGAUGCAGAAUUCCAGGUGUAGCGGUGAAAUGCGUAGAUAUCCGGAGGAACACCAAUAGCGAAGGCAGCUCGCUGGACGUUACUGACACUGAGGCGCGAAAGCUAGGGGAGCGA